ensembl:lncRNA
GUUAAACUUCUUUGGGUCUGUGGGUUGUCUCCUAGGUAUUCUGUGCUUUUUGGCUAAUAUCCACCUAUCAGUGACUACAUACCAUGCAUGUCCUUUUGGAUCUGCAGAGUUACCUCACUCAAUGACAUUUUGUAGUUCCAUCCAUUUGCUACCCACCAGUUUUUAACAUGUAGAAUCUUGUAUUUCUGCUUUUCUAUCUAUUUUAGAUUUCUUUUGUGAUGAUAGAGAAUCAAUCCAGACAGAGCCUUCUUUUCAAAGCUUCCAUAUUUGAGAAUUUUGAAACCAAAAAAAAAGGAUGAACAGCAAUGACAGAUAAAUUUUAUGUGUAUGCUAAUACAUAGCUAAGCAAGAGCUUGGCUGUGGGUUUUUGUAUUUUUACACACUUUAGGUUUUUAGACAUGUCAAAAUUUAAAAGGGAAUGCACACUGGAGUCAAAAUACCUGGUUAACCUUUAACUGCACAAGGCCUUAUUCCUAGACAAUUAGAAGAGUUGUUAGAGAAUCACGUGAAACGUCAGGUAAAUACUUAUGUUGAAGCUUUUUGAAUUAAUUCAUGUUUUUACUUGUUGAGAAUUACCUAUGUGUGUACUGUCAUUGCUUAAAAUAGUAACUAAGUGUGAAAACACAGGAGUAACUUAUAGGGACAGAUCAGAUGCAGAAACUUUUGAUGGGGGAAGACUUUACAUAAAUGCAAAAUAAGCAGGGUACCCACCAGUUUACUCCUUUUCCUGCUUCCACUAAUUAUGCUGCCCUUGAAAUGCAUUGUUAGUUGAAGAAAACCAAAGGCUCUAUUUCCAGGAUUAAGAUUCAGAAGUUUAAAUAAAAAAAAGCAAAUAAGGUAACAAAAUUAAACGGUGUAUAAACCAGCAGUCUCAGGUUAUACCGUUUCUAAAAUAAAAGUGAAAUCACCUGCCUCUGAAUGUAAUUCUAAUACAGGGCAAACAGCCACAGAUUACAAACCCUCUCCAAGGCACCCUCAGAGCAGGUGGCUGAUUUAGUGUCAUUUUUCUCUUCUUUGUUGCUUCUACUGGGACCCAAAUUCAAGCAAUAUAAACACUGUUGUCACCUAUAACCUUUCUGUGAUGAAAAAAAGAUUGGAUCAUUGUCUCCUGAGUGCAGGACAAUGUAAGGCUUGUCCUUUCAGUAGACCCAACUGUCCUAAGAUUGAUAACCUGAGGCUAUGGAUAAUUCUAAAAAUAAUAUUGACAAGUUUAAAACAACCAAAGCUACAGUUGAAAUGUAAUUUUCAUGUUUAAUUUUCUAUAAACAAGGACUUUUCACAGGUCUUCCAACUCCUCUAGCCACUCUUAAUCCAAGAUAACAGAAUCAUUUAUACCAUCGUAACAAGACGUUUGCUACACUGCAGUAUACUCCAAAAAUUUAAAAUACGUGGACCGAAAUAGCAAAUUCUUUCUCUAGAAACUGCAGUUUUCUUGUUCCUUAAAGCAAGUACUUCCUAUCGUAAUGUGCUAUAAUAUGCAAAGUAACAUUCUAUAUUCUAUGAACGGAAUUAACAGUUUCAAACUAUAACCUCAUCAUUACUUCUUUUCUGCCAGCAAAGUCCUCAGGAAUGCAGGGCUCGCCACUUGUCCAGAGGGCCACGUUCAGGGAUGUACUUGACUCCACAGCCAUCGGGGAUGAGUCGCUUCGCCGCCACCUUGUCUUCAAAUUCAUCUGCGUUGAACUUGGUGAAUCCCCACUUCUUGGAGAUGUGGAUCUUCUGGCGGCCGGGGAACUUGAACUUGGCUCUGCGUAGGGCUUCGAUCACGUGCUCCUUGUUCUGCAGCUUGGUGCGGAUGGACAUGAUGACCUGGCCGAUGUGGACUCUCGCCACCGUACCUUGUGGUUUCCCGAAGGCACCUCGCAUACCGGUCUGGAGCCUGUCAGCGCCCCGCGCAGGACAACAUCUUGUUGAUGCGGAUGACGUGGAACGGGUGCAGCCGCACUCGGAUGUGGAAGCCGUCCUUGCCACAGCUCUUCACCAUGUACUUGUUGGCGCAGAUGCGUGCGGCCUCCAGGGCCUCAGAAGAGAGCUGCUCAUACUCGUCGGACACCAUGUGGCCACAGAGUGGAAACUCGUCCACCUUCGCUUUCUUCCGACCCAGGUCAAAGAUGCGGAUCUUCGCAUCGGGGACCCCUCGGCAGAAGCGGGACUUUGGGUACGGCUUGUUCUUACAGUACCGGUAACAGCGGGCAGGACGACGACCCAUGGCGACAGCAGGAACCUCGGCCUUGCGUGCUCACCGCCAGCAGCAAAAUGGAGACCAAAUUUCUAUCUG